CGUUUAUAGUAGCACCUGCUUUGUGUGAAUGUUUUGAGGGUCUGGGUGUUUUCCUUUGUGUAUCCGGUGUACAAUUUGUCCAAGGACAGUGUUCUUAUGAACAAAAAGUAAGGCAAAACAAUACAAAUACACAGAAGCUUUUGGUACUGGUAAAGUUAUUUAUAUUUUGGUGCGUUCUUCCCUGGGCAGGAAUGAGGUCACGGAAACCAGAAAGAGCACAGCAACUGGACGGGAGAGAUAAGAGUUCAGCUGACCGUGAUAGGUAGCUCAACAGUAUUGACUAAAGCUUCACAAGAAAUCUAGUUCCUUUUCAGCAACAUGUGAGAGAGAAUGAAUACAAGUAAACUUUAAUGUCACCAUAGAGAAUAAGGUAGGUCACAGCUACCCCUAGCUUGGCCUUUCCCAUUUGGAGGCACUGUAUGCAUGGUAUGCUAUGGGCACUAUUUCAUUAAAACUGUAGCACAGACCUGCGUGGAGGCUGGGGAAGGUAAAGUGAAGCAUAGAGAAAGUAAGUAGCUUUAUCGUUGUCACAUAAAACUUUAGGGACCAGAAGAGAAGCACUGACUCUGGAAAUUACAGCCUUUCAGAGGAGGAGGACUAUAAAAUGUGGUAUAUGCCAUCAUGUGUCAGCAAUGCCCCUCUGCCAUAUACGUUGGCCAAACUGGACAGUCUCUAUGCAAAAGAAUAAAUGGACACAAAUCUGACAUCAAGAAUUGUAACAUUCAAAAACCAGUAGGAGAGCACUUCAGUCUCCCUGGACACUCAGUAACAGACCUAAAAGUGGCCAUUCUUCAAGAAAAAAAUUCAAAAACAGACUCCAAUGAGAAACGGCAGAACUGGAAUUAAUUUGCAAACUGGACACCAUCAAAUUAGGCCUGAAUAAAGACUGGGACUGAAUGGGUCACUACAAAAAGUAGUUUUCCUUCUGCUGAUACUCACACCUUCUUGUCAACUGUUAGAAAUGAGCGAGGACCACCUUGCAUUGGCCUCGUUAGCACUACAAAAGUAAUCAACUGUUAAGAAUAGGCCACUUCCGCCUUAAUUGAAUUGGCCUCCUUAGCACUGACCCUCCACUUGAAUAACAUGGCUACCACUCUGAAAACUAUAAAAAGUGUAGAAGGAAUACUAGCUCCAUGGGGAGCUCCUGACUACUCCAGACCUACCAUCUUCCAGCAAAGCAUGCCAUCAAGAAUAGUACAGUCGUGUCAGCUAUGAAGAGAUCACAUCUACUACAGUCCCAGCCUCCUACCGCAAAAGGCUCUGUAAGGAACAGGGAGGGAUCACUGGCUACAGCUCCAGUGAUCACUUAUAGGAGGAAGAUCUGUGGCGGCUGCUGCUCCUGCAAAGUUCUGAGUGGCCAUGAACUGCAGCACAAUGACAAGCUGUAAAAACAUCAUGAGCCAAGAGUCAUCUGACUUGUUAUUGUAUCCUUAUGUGUUAAAAGAAAGAAUGAAGAGCAUUCUCUGGGUAUGUCUGCACUGCAAUGGAACCCUGAACUCAGCCUCCAGCCUAACACCCCUUCUGUCCAUUCAAGUGGCACUAACACAGGGCUCGGACCCAGGGUCUCAGAAGCCUGCAGGGCUGCAGGGUCUGAGCACAAGUCAAGUCUUAACCUAAGGUUCAAGCCCUAUUGCUUUGCAGUGCAGAAUAGCCUCGCUUGACUCAGAUCCUGGACCUGGAAGUCCACCAAAAAGUAUCCCACAAUCCCAUGGGCCAACUUCCUUUGUCCUCUCUAUCCCAAGAAUCUUGAAUCUACUCUAUUCAAAACAGAAGCAACCACCCUUGGUGUACUGCAGCAACUCUCUGAGUUAGUGUUAACCCUUCCAUUGUCUUCUGACCAUCGAGCUGAAAACACACCAUCAGUGUUUGCAAUGGAGUCUGAACAGAACAAGCCUUUUGCAAAACACGCUGCUUUGUGGACAUGGGGGCACAGCCUGAUUUUGGUAAAUCUCUGAUGCAAGGCUAGCAAAACUGUGGACUUAAGUAAGAGUACCAGGAAUGACUGCGCAUAUUAGCAAAUAGGGAAGAAGCUGGCAGCUUUGCACAUUUACCCAACCAGUACCCAGUGCAAGGGCGUGGCUUAAAUGGCUCAAGAGCAAGUACCGGAAACCCAACGGCCAGAACCACACCUCGGGCAACUCGUCAAAAUCAUGUGUGUUGUGAGGAGUCUGGUCACCGGGCACUGCGCUGAGCAUGGAGCCAACAGUACUGCAUGAUGACCUGGUCAGCUGGGAUGGGGCCCCACUGUCUUCAGAAUCCACCAUAGGGAAUGACAGGAACCUGCAGCAGUCUCCAAGUGGGGACAAUGAAGUCACUCUGUUGCUGAGACCAGUUCCAGAGCAGACUUUGGCACAGGAGCAGCAGCAGUGCAUUCUGGGUCUGUACUCGUACGGGCUGAUGCACUCCCCAAGGAGCAGCCCGCGGCGGAGCCUGCUGCAGGCACACAUGGGACCAAAGCUGUUCCUAAGCCCCAGUAAGUUUCUGGCUCCAUUUUCAUGUUUAUUAAUACAGUAAUGUGACCAAUGCAAAAGUUAUGAGAACCCCAGCUAGCAGCCUGUAUCUGCUAGUGGCGGAUUAUAUGCCAGCGGUAUGGCUCUUCCACCCAACCACCGCCAUCACAUGGAGUUCAAAAUAGCGACCAGGACAUGCAAACAAUAAAGAACAACUUUAAAGUGUAUUUUUACGGGAAAGGCAGAGAUUUUUGCUCGGCCAUUCCUAUUUCUUAAAAACAAUAACCUUACAUUGCCAUGCCUGUAAGUACGCCACUCUGUAACCAUUCUACAGUCUAUCGAGCUGCCUGGAAACAGUGAACUCUGUGAAUGUUUGAGGAAAUGUGUUCCAUUCACAAAUCUAGUUCAUUUUAGUCAGUGCAGUCCAUAGAUGACAAAAUAAUGUGUCCCAAAUAUGACUGUGGUUUGAAAUUUUCUGGGGGUGGUGAGGAGGAAGGGGAAAUAUGCUGGGGGUUGGGAGGAGGAAGGCUGUGAAUUUCUGCGUGUUUGCAUGCUGUCAUAACAGGCUACACCAUGUGGAAUCUAACACAGCAUCCUCUUGAUUCCCUCAUGAAUUCUGACUUAAUCCUGGGUGCUAAUAGCUGAAGCUUUGCCUGAAGCAGGAACUUCACAUAGGUAAUCAUAUUUCAGGGAAGGGCAUAUUUUCCACGGCCACCUUGGUAGCUGACCAGCCCAUUCCACUCAUAGAUGUGCUGUUCAGUUACUAGACAUUUGAAUACGUCUGUUGCAUAAACUGCAGGUUUCCCCCCAGCAGCUUGGAAUAACAUCUCCUUUGCCAAAUCAGGCACCACAAGAACUAUUAUGUCCUCCAAAAUUGGAAAGGCCUGAAAUUGUAGAAAAAUCUUUUGUAGCACAGCUACUGAUAGCAGCCCUCCACUCUCACCCACCCCAAACCCAAGUGUUCCGCAGUUUUCUAAAAUAAAAAAAUCAGCUUUCCAUUUUUAACUUUCCACUGUGCCUGUAAUUCUUUCACUGUGAUUAACCAGGCUGUGGCUAGGGAACUUCAGUGGUCUGAAGCAUCCUUUUCACAAUAUAUUGACGUUCAGUUUGAAAAAGUAUCAUUUUAUGGCCUUGAAAUUCCAUGAGGAUUUUCUCUGCGUUCCUGCAGUGAUCUAGUUGAGACAAUAACACCUUUCUUCACCCCCACCCCCACACACAGUCUUGUCCUGUUCCAGGCCCCUCAGCCUCUGCAAGCUUCAGUACUGCAGCAGAAGCCUGACUCAAUGGACCUUGACAGAAGCGUUUCCAUGACAAACUUAUGGUUGAAGUUCUGGAGAGGGCCAACAAGCAGGUCUGCUACCAAAGACAGAUGGCCUUAUAGUAGAGGAAAAGGCAUGCCGCACGGCACAAGGAAAGGCUCAGGUUGGCUGCACAGUUUGAGGGAGCUGGCACUUGCUUUGCAGAUUCUGGAAUAGGAAAGGUGGCUAAGGGAGGAGGACAGAGCUCAGCAGAAAGUGCAGUUUGAGUGGCUUAUGUCAAUAGUGACUGUGGCUCCUGCUGCAUUACCCACACCCACAGGCCCAAGUACCCUGCGUACUACCCUAUGCUGCAAUUCAGAAGUAGAUUGGAAGACUCUAUGGCUGGGUGGCGCAUGCAAUCAGGCCCCAUGAGUGGCUGGCAGGGCAACCUUACCUCAUGCAGCCCUCCAUAUUGACCUCCUCCCCUGUGGAUGUCUCCAUCUCCCUCCUACAGUGUCAUGUGCCCGGUUCAUGGGAAAAGAAGGGAAAGGAGAACCAUCGGCCUGGGGACAUGACAGGAUAGGGAAUUUCUGUCUUGUACGUGGUUUCACUGUUUGCACUUGUUCAUGCACUUUGUUUUUUUUGUUUUGUUUCCGUAAGGGUCUGUUGUUACUCGUGUUUUGGCAUGGUAAGGACAGCUGGCCUGCCUGGGAAUGGGUGAAUGUAGUAGUUUUCUAAUACAUGUUUAUAAAGUUUUUAAUUUCAUCAAGAAA